UGUCAGGCUACUGGCUUGUAUGCUCCAAGUGACUGUGUAGGCUGAGUUUACACUGUGUCUGUUCUGACAUAACAAAAUUACAUUGAAAAGGCAUUGGAGAGACAAAACCGCUUUUAUACUUCAUCAAGAUGCCACCGUGUUACCUGAUAAUCAUGUAUCUCCUGGAUGAAGACGCCAAAGCUUAAAGAAUCCAGAGUCUCACCCAAGGUGAGGAUGGCAGACUGUAACCAUGCCUGAAGUGCUGGCAUGGAAAUCCAACAGGCCUGGCCAAGGUCUGGCUCUGCCAAUAAUUAAUGAGAAGUGUCACUUGACACUUAAUCUAGUUAAAUGCCAAGAUCCUCUAUCCCCCCUUUCCCAUGCAAAAAUACAUUUUGUUUAUUUAUGAGCAGAUUCAUAACUCGGGUGUCCUUUCAAUUUCCUGAAGUAUUUAUUUUUCACGGUUCAGAAUCCUGCACACUGCCUAGACGAGGAGAAGUUCAUGGCUGGGACUAGCGUCAGCCCUCCUCCCUCACUUGGGGACACUUCAGCUUUUGUCCAAGCUCGCAUAACCGAAACCUCAGCUCCCCCAUCUCUCACAGAAAGACAUUUUUGAAGAGCCCUGAGGCAUCUCUUGUCCUCCUACAAAAGUUAUGAAAGAAGUCUCGACGGCCAGAGGCCAUAGGAAGAGCUCGAGUACCACAGCUUCUCCCUGCCUCGUUGUAUUUUCAUGACAUUUAACGUUCAGGCUGGUCCCAGAGGGAAAGGUGCUUAUGAACCGGUUCCUUCCCCUUAACAUGAUUCUCCUACCACAUUGUAGAGACAUCAUAGAGAUGAUUUCACAAUUGCAGAUGGUGUUCUCUACCUGUCCCUCUGAACACACUCAGUUCUAUAGUUGUCAGGGAGGCAGUGACCUGUGAAGAGACAUUCAGAGUUCCUGGCCUCUCCCCGCACCCCAGGUCCCUAGGGAAUGGGACAAUAACUCGAAGUUUCCUUGAGUUUACUUAACCAUCUCAAGGUUGUUGGUAGUAACUUUAAUGGAACAAAACUGAGCAAGACAUAAAUAAUCCCCUUGACCUUGAGAUUCAACCAUAGCCCUAAAACAUUGCAAUGGGAAGCAAAUCCUUACAUGCAUGACACGGUUGACAAAGCAAACCGGGUUUGUUUUCAAAAUCAUUUAUUUUUAAAUUGGCACAAAGUUGUACAUUACCAUCGAAUACGGAGUGAUGUUCUAAAGUGAAGAGGGUCGGAUGUUUUCACUCUUAAUUUAUGUCUUGGUUUUGGAAUUGCUUUUAACGAACACUAGAAAGAGCAUACCCAGAUGUCAGCAUCUUUACUGGUAAUGAAGUGUUGACAAUAAAGUUACUGAUGAUGUAAGGCUGUGGCUCAGCUAUAGAGUGCCUGCCUAGUAUGCACAGAACACCCUGGUUCAAAGCCUAUCACUGCAUCAACCGGGCAUGAUGCUUAGCUGUAAUCCUGUAAUUUGGGAGGUGAAGGAGAGAGAGUGGCAAGUUCAAAGUCAUCCUCAGCUGCCAGUAAGUCUCCAGGU
rnacentral:lncRNA from 1 species